rnacentral:rRNA from 1 species
AUACGUAGGGGGCGAGCGUUGUCCGGAAUGAUUGGGCGUAAAGGGCGCGUAGGCGGCUUUGCAAGUCAGUAGUGGAAGUCCAUUUUUCAAGGAUGGAAGUGCUACAGAAACUGCGGAGCUUGAGUGCAGGAGAGGUUAUCGGAAUUCCCGGUGUAGCGGUGAAAUGCGUAGAGAUCGGGAGGAACACCAGUGGCGAAGGCGGGUAACUGGACUGCAACUGACGCUGAGGCGCGAAAGUGUGUGGAGCAAACAGGAUUAGAUACCCUGGUAGUCCACACUGUAAACUAUGAAUGCUAGGUGUAGGAGGUAUCGACCCCUUCUGUGCCGCAGUAAACACAGUAAGCAUUCCGCCUGGGGAGUACGGUCGCAAGAUUAAAACUCAAAUGAAUUGACGGGG